AGCAGCCCAAACCUAAUAUGCAGAAAAAAGACCCCUUGACUAAUUGUUCUGUAGAAAUUCCAGGUUUGUACCAUUGGAAUGAAGAUAUGAUGGCAGACAAUGGGAGACAACAAACCCAGAAAUGGAGAGGCCAUACAAAAGCCAGGAGGAGAGAAUAUGCUUGAUGGUUCUGUAUCACAACAUGCCCAGCCUCAUCCACAGCACGUCAUGGCCCUUUAAAUUAAUGUACCAUUCAACAAACAAAGAAACUCUGCUGGUGUGGGUCAUAAGCAAGUUUAAGAUGUACGCCUGCUGGUCACUAAGAAAUCAGCUGUUACUCAAGUCACUAAACUGCUACGGUGGAUUAAAAUGGAAGAAGAACAUCUCUUUAUCUGUUCCCACCCAAAACACCCCACCACACAACCAGGCAGAAGUUCUGCUGAAAGGGGCAGAUCAUACAGACAGGAAGCAUCAGACUGUGGCUUUCUAGCUCCCUUCAUAGCCUCCUGCAACCAUAACCUCAUAAUGUUACUUAUCAACAAAGCAGUUAAUGUUUCAGUUCUGUGUUUUAUGGUUUUGAGCUUCAUAGCGUACGUGUCAAUAUUUCAUAAUAUGUAAAUCAUCCUGCAUUUUUGUCAAUGUGUGGAUUUUUGUGUGGAUUUUUUUUUAUUAUAAAUUUGUAUUAAUGUUUGGGAGAUGCAUAUGACA